rnacentral:rRNA from 1 species
AGUGAACGCUGGCGGUAGGCCUAACACAUGCAAGUCGAACGGCAGCACAGUAAGAGCUUGCUCUUACGGGUGGCGAGUGGCGGACGGGUGAGGAAUACAUCGGAAUCUACUUUUUCGUGGGGGAUAACGUAGGGAAACUUACGCUAAUACCGCAUACGACCUACGGGUGAAAGCAGGGGAUCUUCGGACCUUGCGCGAUUGAAUGAGCCGAUGUCGGAUUAGCUGGUUGGCGGGGUAAAGGCCCACCAAGGCGACGAUCCGUAGCUGGUCUGAGAGGAUGAACAGCCACACUGGAACUGAGACACGGUCCAGACUCCUACGGGGGGCAGCAGUGGGGAAUAUUGGACAAAGGGCGCAAGCCUGAUCCAGCCAUACCGCGUGGGUGAAGAAGGCCUUCGGGUUGUAAAGCCCUUUUGUUGGGAAAGAAAAGCAGCAGGUUAAUACCCCGCUGUUCUGACGGUACCCAAAGAAUAAGCACCGGCUAACUUCGUG